rfam:Branchiostoma floridae genomic scaffold BRAFLscaffold_255, whole genome shotgun sequence.
GGGGAGGUCAGAUACCUAGCCAAACCCAGACAUGUUUGCGUUGGCACUGUGGCUUCCCAAGAGCAGCGCCUCCUUGCAUGCCCUCUGAUGACUGCAGUCAGUUGAGAGAAAUCACUGCAGACAGAUACGGGGCAAACAUUU